rnacentral:rRNA from 1 species
AACGAACGCUGGCGGCAUGCCUAACACAUGCAAGUCGAACGAGACCUUCGGGUCUAGUGGCGCACGGGUGCGUAACGCGUGGGAACCUGCCCUUAGGUUCGGAAUAACUCCCCGAAAGGGGUGCUAAUACCGGAUAAUUUCUUCGGACCAAAGAUUUAUCGCCUUUGGAUGGGCCCGCGUUGGAUUAGCUAGUUGGUAGGGUAAAAGCCUACCAAGGCGACGAUCCAUAGCUGGUCUGAGAGGAUGUUCAGCCACACUGGGACUGAGACACGGCCCAGACUCCUACGGGAGGCAGCAGUGGGGAAUAUUGGACAAGGGGCGAAAGCCUGAUCCAGCAAUGCCGCGUGAGUGAUGAAGGCCUUAGGGUUGUAAAGCUCUUUUACCCGGGAUGAUAAUGACAGUACCGGGAGAAUAAGCUCCGGCUAACUCCGUG